rnacentral:rRNA from 1 species
UGGGGAAUAUUGCACAAUGGGCGGAAGCCUGAUGCAGCGACGCCGCGUGAGGGAUGACGGCCUUCGGGUUGUAAACCUCUUUCAGUAGGGACGAAGCGUAAGUGACGGUACCUGCAGAAGAAGCACCGGCUAACUACGUGCCAGCAGCCGCGGUAAUACGUAGGGUGCGAGCGUUGUCCGGAAUUACUGGGCGUAAAGAGCUCGUAGGCGGUUUGUCACGUCGUCAGUGAAAUCCUAGGGCUUAACCCUGGACGUGCAGGCGUUACGGGCUGACUUGAGUACUACAGAGGAGACUGGAAUUUCUGGUGUAGCGGUGGAAUGCACAGAUAUCAGGAAGAACACCGAUGGCGAAGGCAGGUCUCUGGGGAGUAACUGACGCUGAGGAGCGAAAGCAUGGGUAGCGAACAGG